GCCUGGGUGGCUCAGUCGGUUAAGCGUCUGACUUCAGCUCAGGUCAUGAUCUCACAGUCUGUGAGUUCGAGCCCCGCGUCGGGCU
rnacentral:tRNA from 1 species